rnacentral:rRNA from 1 species
AUUGAACGCUGGCGGCAGGCCUAACACAUGCAAGUCGAGCGGAUGAAGGGAGCUUGCUCCUGGAUUCAGCGGCGGACGGGUGAGUAAUGCCUAGGAAUCUGCCUGGUAGUGGGGGAUAACGCCCGGAAACGGGCGCUAAUACCGCAUACGUCCUGAGGGAGAAAGUGGGGGAUCUUCGGACCUCACGCUAUCAGAUGAGCCUAGGUCGGAUUAGCUAGUUGGUGGGGUAAAGGCCUACCAAGGCGACGAUCCGUAACUGGCCUGAGAGGAUGAUCAGUCACACUGGAACUGAGACACGGUCCAGACUCCUACGGGAGGCAGCAGUGGGGAAUAUUGGACAAUGGGCGAAAGCCUGAUCCAGCCAUGCCGCGUGUGUGAAGAAGGUCUUCGGAUUGUAAAGCACUUUAAGUUGGGAGGAAGGGCAGUAAGUUAAUACCUUGCUGUUUUGACGUUACCAACAGAAUAAGCACCGGCUAACUUCGUG